rnacentral:rRNA from 1 species
UAGGGAAUAUUGGUCAAUGGAUGCAAGUCUGAACCAGCCAUGCCGCGUGCAGGAAGAAGGCCUUCUGGGUUGUAAACUGCUUUUGCCGGGGGAUAAAAUUCCCAUGCGUGGGACAUUGAAGGUACCCGGUGAAUAAGCCACGGCUAACUACGUGCCAGCAGCCGCGGUAAUACGUAGGUGGCAAGCGUUGUCCGGAUUUAUUGGGUUUAAAGGGUGCGUAGGCGGCCUAUUAAGUCAGUUCUGAAAUAUCCCGGCUUAACCGGGAGGGUGGGAUUGAUACUGAUGGGCUUGAGUGGAGUCGAGGUAGGCGGAAUUGACGGUGUAGCGGUGAAAUGCUUAGAUAUCGUCAAGAACACCGAUAGUGUAGACAGCUUACUAGACUUCAACUGACGCUGAGGCACGAAAGUGUGGGGAUCAAACAGGAUUAGAUACCCUGGUAGUCCACACUGUAAACGUUGAUUACUCGCUGUGUGCGAUAUACAGUACGCGGCUUAGCGAAAGCGAUAAGUAAUCCACCUGGGGAGUACGCCGGCAACGGUG